AAAAUUUUGCUCUUUUAGUAUAUGUCUUGCAGGUCUUCAGCUGCUGAAGGCCCAC
rnacentral:snRNA from 1 species